rnacentral:rRNA from 1 species
AUACGGAGGGUGCGAGCGUUGUUCGGAAUUAUUGGGCGUAAAGCGCGUGCAGGCGGCCUACUUAGUCUGAUGUGAAAGCCCUGGGCUCAACCCAGGAAGUGCAUUGGAAACUGGUCGGCUUGAGUACGGGAGAGGAAAGUGGAAUUCCGAGUGUAGGGGUGAAAUCCGUAGAUAUUCGGAGGAACACCAGUGGCGAAGGCGGCUUUCUGGACCGAUACUGACGCUGAGACGCGAAAGCGUGGGGAGCAAACAGGAUUAGAUACCCUGGUAGUCCACGCCGUAAACGAUGGGUACUAGGUGUUGCGGGUAUUGACCCCUGCAGUGCCAAAGCUAACGCAUUAAGUACCCCGCCUGGGGAGUACGGCCGCAAGGCUAAA